UACGAAGGGGGCUAGCGUUGCUCGGAAUCACUGGGCGUAAAGGGUGCGUAGGCGGGUCUUUAAGUCAGAGGUGAAAUCCUGGAGCUCAACUCCAGAACUGCCUUUGAUACUGAGAGGCUUGAGUCCGGGAGAGGUGAGUGGAACUGCGAGUGUAGAGGUGAAAUUCGUAGAUAUUCGCAAGAACACCAGUGGCGAAGGCGGCUCACUGGCCCGGUACUGACGCUGAGGUGCGAAAGCGUGGGGAGCAAACAGG
rnacentral:rRNA from 1 species